AUUGAAUGAUCCCUUCGGGGUGAUUUCGAUCGGAUUAGCGGCGAACGGGUGAGUAACGCGUGAGGAACCUGCCUCUUACAACGGGAUAGCCUCGGGAAACCGGGAUUAAUACCGUAUAAGACUCCGACAUCUCCUGAUGAUGAAGUCAAAGCGUUAGCGGUAAGAGAUGGCCUCGCGUCUGAUUAGCUUGUUGGCGGGGUAACGGCCCACCAAGGCGACGAUCAGUAACCGGCCUGAGAGGGUGAACGGUCACAUUGGAACUGAGACACGGUCCAAACUCCUACGGGAGGCAGCAGUGGGGAAUCUUGCACAAUGGGGGAAACCCUGAUGCAGCGACGCCGCGUGAGCGAUGAAGGUUUUCGAAUCGUAAAGCUCUGUCCUAUGGGAAGAUAAUGACGGUACCAUGGGAGGAAGCCCCGGCUAACUACGUGCCAGCAGCCGCGGUAAUACGUAGGGGGCGAGCGUUGUCCGGAAUUACUGGGCGUAAAGGGUUCGCAGGCGGCAUGGCAAGUCCGAUGUAAAAGGCGAAGGCUCAACCUUCGUAAGCAUCGGAAACUGUCAAGCUUGAGUGAAGGAGAGG
rnacentral:rRNA from 1 species